GUUGUGUGACGACUGCUUCUCGGUCCUCUUCACAGGCGAAGCAUCCAUGGUGGCAAGACGCUGCUGGUCGUUUGGGCAAGAGGCUGCUCGGCUUCCUCCACGACUGCGCCUGUGGCUUGGUAAUUUCUGCAAUGGUAUUAUCUAGUAGAAGAGAGAUGCCAGAUGGGAAGUAUACCCGACAUUAAUGGUGGAGUCUGUUGAUAGCAAGUCCGGUGGAGAGGAACUGGUCUCGGCUAGAGCUUGGUGCUCCGCUUGUUGCUGUUGGCUGAAAGCCUCUUCUGCCUCCUUGUUCUUCUCCUUGAUCUGUAUGAAGAAGCCAUUCAUUCCACAUUUCAAUCCAACUUUGGAAGUCCAUAAAUGAGGUUAAUCAUUCUAUCACUUCACCUUCUUCUCCAGAUCGCUGUUAUGUGCUUGCAGUGCUUUCUCCUGCAUGAUAAUAAUAAAAGGUUAUUCACGCACGCACCAUUUUACCUGAA